rnacentral:rRNA from 1 species
GAUGAACGCUGGCGGCAGGCUUAACACAUGCAAGUCGAGCGCCCCGCAAGGGGAGCGGCAGACGGGUGAGUAACGCGUGGGAAUCUACCCAUCUCUACGGAAUAACGCAUGGAAACGUGUGCUAAUACCGUAUACGUCCUUCGGGAGAAAGAUUUAUCGGAGAUGGAUGAGCCCGCGUUGGAUUAGCUAGUUGGUGGGGUAAAGGCCUACCAAGGCGACGAUCCAUAGCUGGUCUGAGAGGAUGAUCAGCCACACUGGGACUGAGACACGGCCCAGACUCCUACGGGAGGCAGCAGUGGGGAAUAUUGGACAAUGGGCGCAAGCCUGAUCCAGCCAUGCCGCGUGAGUGAUGAAGGCCCUAGGGUUGUAAAGCUCUUUCACCGGUGAAGAUAAUGACGGUAACCGGAGAAGAAGCCCCGGCUAACUUCGUGCCAGCAGCCGCAGUAA